AUGGUGGCUCGGGUGUCAGUCACGUCGGUAUGUAAAUAUUCAGAGAGCCACACACCCCACCCAGGUAAUCGCUGCAUUGCAGACUCGGAAAACUAUGUGACCUGCCCUUCAGCAAAGACUCUCCUGGGGCUACAAAAGAGCUGGGCCGUGUGGGCAGGGCCUCCUAGGAGAAAGAGCCGUGCCUGUGGUCAGACUGCCAAGACUGAGAUCCCAGCACCAUGGCUGCUGUUCUGUCUCAAGGAGUUUUCCGACCUGAGGCCUCGGUCCUCAGACACACAACAUGGGGAAAAAAUAAAAACCCAUCAACUUACUUACUGCGUUUGGAAUUUAAACAAUGUGACACAAAGCACA
rnacentral:lncRNA from 1 species